UAGAUACUAUGAACCACCAGGUAGACUCUUACAGAUACUAUGAACCACCAGGUAGACUCUUACAGAUACUAUGAACCACCAGGUAGACUCUUAUAGAUACUAUGAACCACCAGGUAGACUCUUAUAGAUACUAUGAACCACCAGGUAGACUCUUAUAGAUACUAUGAACCACCAGGUAGACUCUUAUCGAUACUAUGAACCACCAGGUAGACUCUUAUCGAUACUAUGAACCACCAGGUAGACUCUUAUAGAUACUAUGAACCAUGGGGAUAUACACCAGGUAGACUCUUAUAGAUACUAUGAACCACCAGGUAGACUCUUAUCGAUACUAUGAACCACCAGGUAGACUCUUAUAGAUACUAUGAACCACCAGGUAGACUUAUAGAUACUAUGAACCAUGGAGAUAUACACCAGGUAGACUCUUAUAGAUACUAUGAACCACCAGGUAGACUCUUAUCGAUACUAUGAACCACCAGGUAGACUCUUAUCGAUACUAUGAACCACCAGGUAGACUCUUAUCGAUACUAUGAACCCACCAGGUAGACUCUUAUAGAUACUAUGAACCACCAGGUAGACUCUUACAGAUACUAUGAACCACCAGGUAGACUCUUAUAGACACUAUGAACCACC